AUUGAACGCUGGCGGCAUGCCUUACACAUGCAAGUCGAACGGUAACAGGUCUUCGGAUGCUGACGAGUGGCGAACGGGUGAGUAAUGUAUCGGAACGUGCCUGGUAGUGGGGGAUAACUAGUCGAAAGAUUAGCUAAUACCGCAUACGACCUACGGGUGAAAGCAGGGGGACCUUCGGGCCUUGUGCUAUCAGAGCGGCCGAUAUCUGAUUAGCUAGUUGGUGGGGUAAAAGCCCACCAAGGCGACGAUCAGUAGCUGGUUUGAGAGAACGACCAGCCACACUGGAACUGAGACACGGUCCAGACUCCUACGGGAGGCAGCAGUGGGGAAUUUUGGACAAUGGGGGCGAGCCCUGAUCCAGCAAUGCCGCGUGAGUGAAGAAGGCCCUCGGGUUGUAAAGCUCUUUUGUCCGGAAAGAAAAGCAAUCGGUUAAUACCCGGUUGUUCUGACGGUACCGGAAGAAUAAGCACCGGCUAACUUCGUGCCAGCAGCCGCGGUAAGGUAGA
rnacentral:rRNA from 1 species